AGUUUGUGACAGGCACGACGAUUGCGGAGCUGAAGUUCAGGCAGCGGGAGCGAGGAGGCUCUCCCAGAACACAUGCAUCAAACCCGGGAUCCCCUGUGCCCUGGUGGGAUGGCAGGAGUCUCUAGCUGUUUGGAUCAUCUUCCCAAACCUUAACUUCACCUUUACAUGAUGAGGAUCUACAGAGCGGCAUCUCAGCCCUUUCCUGCAAACGCACGGUGCUUCUGAAUGCAGAAUUCGGGGCUAGGGAAGGGAGGGGACACAGGUAGAUGCCAUCUGUGGUCAGGGGGAGGUGUGGGCCCGAGACCGUCUCAGCUGAAAUGUAGGAGUAAUGGGCACAGACCAUUCAAGAGAAAUGUGUGUUGGGCUGAAGAAAGUAGAAACUACCUCCAGAGUAUCUCCUCCAUCUCUAAGACAUGCACGGUUUAAUUCUGUUAUUUUGUGAGGCUCUUUGCACCAUGACACAAGCAUGCAUAGAGGGCUCCAUCAUACAGGGGAGAACGAGACCCUGAAUGGUCUCACAGUCUAGUGGGGGAGGCAUAUGUGUUCCUUCAGGCAACAAAUAUGUAUGAAAGUCUUCUACGUGCCAGGCA
rnacentral:lncRNA from 10 species